rnacentral:rRNA from 1 species
UACGGAGGAUCCGAGCGUUAUCCGGAUUUAUUGGGUUUAAAGGGUGCGUAGGCGGCCUAUUAAGUCAGGGGUGAAGACGGUAGCUUAACUAUCGCAGUGCCUUUGAUACUGAUGGGCUUGAAUGUAGUUGAGGUAGGCGGAAUGUGACAAGUAGCGGUGAAAUGCAUAGAUAUGUCACAGAACACCAAUUGCGAAGCAGCUUACUAAAGUAUAAUUGACGCUGAGGCACGAAAGCGUGGGGAUCAAACAGG